UGUGAUUUAAAGCUUUUAGAAACU
rnacentral:snRNA from 1 species